UUAAAAUGUGUAUCCUGUGGCUUAUGGUGUUCAUCCAUUCUACCACCAGGGAAGGGUGAGAAGACAUCUGAGAUGGAAACAGAGACAAAUGACUCUUCCCUUGAGGUAACAUCAGAUACAGGAGAAGCUCCCCUGUGCUGCUCUGGAGUCCAACAGGUAAUACCAGUUACCUUGGCCUCACUGGUGAACACCUGAAAGCAAAGACCAACUCAUCUUGCUAUGAGCAUUAAGGAUUCCUGCUGAACAGCAGAAUACAGCCCCAUGUCAAGGUGUGCUUAACAUCAGCUUCCCAGUCCUCAGGACAGACACAUAUCUUCACUCCCCAGGGGAGCACCCGAGCUGUUAAUAAGGGCCUGGAGGUGGAAAACAUCAGGUUCAAGAGCAGAGGGAGCAGCAGUAGCUGUGAGAAUCAGCCUUACAAACUGGAACCAGAGCUGGCAGCAGUGCUGGAGCACUGGGCAUGGAUCAGGCUGGAGAAAAAGAAUUAACAGUUCCAUGCUCAGAAGCCUGGAGAGUGAGAAAGCAGCUGUCACCCGUGGAGGGAGGGGAAAUGCUGAGCUGCCAUACAUAAACUCAGACCCAUCCUUUCCCGAUAGCUCUGGGCACAUAUUUUUUGAAGUAAAUGAAGCUGAUUGAGAUCUUGCUGACCCAGGUUAAACACAGAUUCAUGUCAUGAAAGCCAGAGGAGCUGUAUCAAUAUCAAACCAGUGUGAACAAAAGUAGAAUCAGACCCAACGGCAUAAAGAUAUGGAAACAUAUAUGUCCCAGUUGCCUCUUAUUCACAUCAGUUUAAUGUUAAUGAGGUGCCAUUGGCUUCAGAGGAAUGGUUCCUGACUUACAGAAGUAGAA